UAAUACGGAGGGUGCAAGCGUUAAUCGGAAUUACUGGGCGUAAAGCGCACGCAGGCGGUUUGUUAAGUCAGAUGUGAAAUCCCCGGACUCAACCUGGGAACUGCAUUUGAAACUGGCAAGCUAGAGUCUCGUAGAGGGGGGUAGAAUUCCAGGUGUAGCGGUGAAAUGCGUAGAGAUCUGGAGGAAUACCGGUGGCGAAGGCGGCCCCCUGGACGAAGACUGACGCUCAGGUGCGAAAGCGUGGGGAGCAAACAGGAUUAGAUACCCUGGUAGUCCACGCUGUAAACGAUGUCGAUUUGGAGGUUGUGCCCUUGAGGCGUGGCUUCCGGAGCUAACGCGUUAAAUCGACCGCCUGGGGAGUACGGCCGCAAGGUUA
rnacentral:rRNA from 1 species